UACGUAGGGCCCAAGCGUUGUUCGGAUUUACUGGGCGUAAAGGGCGCGUAGGCGGCAUGACAAGUCACUUGUGAAAUCUCCGGGCUUAACUCGGAACGGCCAAGUGAAACUGUCAAGCUAGAGUGCAGAAGGGGCAAUCGGAAUUCUUGGUGUAGCGGUGAAAUGCGUAGAUAUCAAGAGGAACACCUGAGGUGAAGACGGGUUGCUGGGCUGACACUGACGCUGAGGCGCGAAAGCCAGGGGAGCAAACGGG
rnacentral:rRNA from 1 species